AACCCCGCCCUUGCUGAUUACAGCCCCAGCUGCAGCAACAAAACGAUGUUCCCAGAGGCUUCUCCUGGCUGGUCUGAGAUGCUGUCCUCUGCAGUUACCUUGCAUGUGGCAGUACCUUUUUGAACUUAGUCUUAAAAAUGAAUCCAGUUGUUUUGCAGCCAAGAUAUGGCGCAGGAGGUGCGACGGUUAGUGACUGGCAAACCGGCGUGUUUGACUGCUGUGAUGACGUGGGGAUUUGCCUCUGUGGGACUUUCUUGCCCCUGUGCCUUUGAUGUCAGAUUGCCUCUGACAUGGACGAAUGCUGCCUGUGUGGAGCAAGUGUCGCCAUGAGGACCAUGUAUCGGACCCAAUACGGCAUCCCGGGGUCUAUUUGUAAUGAUUUCCUAUGUCUGGCAUGUUUCCCUUUUUGCACCCUUUGUCAACUCAAGCGAGAUAUUGAAAAAAGAAGAGCAAUGAAUGCUUUGUAAAAGAUGCAAGGUCAAAUUCACUAGUAGUGAAAGAAAAUGCUGGAAUGAAAUACUGCAUCUAUUCAGUGCUAUCUCACCUCAAGUCUUAAGAAACUAAUUCAGCUAAUCAUAUGGUUUCAAAUGGCUUCAAAACAUUUUUAAUAUUUGGUUUAUUUUGAAAGAAAUAUAUUUCUACUGCUGUUCUCUGAGAUGAAUGCCAUUAAAAAAUUAAUUUCCUCAAC